rnacentral:lncRNA from 1 species
AACACGUCAUUCCAUGGCGUUCGCGGGAUGGUCGUGUGUGCAGAUGGAGAAGUGGUGGCACAGUGUUUAGAAAAUAAAAACACUACCCUGGACCCACAGUUCAUGCCACAGCGCAUGGUGGAGCAGCGCGUCCCUGUCCUCUCGGAGAUAAAAGCGCCCAGGUGACCCACCGCAGGCAGUGAACUGCAAAACAACGACAUGUGUCGUGCUAGCAGAGACCUUGCAAGGAAGUGGCUCUCACCCCUCGGGCUUGGCAACUGGACACGUCAGUGGCUGCUCCAUCAGUCUGGGUCCUGAGCGACUACCAGGCCCAUCGUGGACUUUGUGGACACGUAGAAUAAGAAGAGAUGAAUGUGCAUGUUUAUUGCAGCAAAAUUAACCAAUCUUGCAUCACACCAAAACUGGUACCUACACGUGGGGAGCCACCACCGCAGUGUCAGUGAGACCCUCUGCUGUGUCGGCGUAUUUUGAGGCCUCAGGUAUAACACAGUGAACGAGACAGAGCCGGCCCUGCCUCGUGAAGCCCACCUCCUAGCAGGAAGCAACGACAAUGAUGCGAGGGACUCGCCACCUCAGUGGGGAGGCUGGUUCUCCAGGUGGAAAUCAGGGACAAGAGCAGCACUCAUCUCUCAGGGGUGUCGCAAGGAUUAAGUGAGAAAAUAAGACGAAAAACAAAAGAAAAGCAGAGGAGACAAGUUACAUAAUCUACGUACUGGAAGACUAAGCAUUUUUAUUUCUCAUUGCCGUUUGAAUUGAAAGGAACACUCAGUCCUGGAACAUGUACCAAGAUGUAAUUUGUAUGGAAGCCAAAACUGGAGACAUGCUGAAUAUGUGAAUACCAAGGAAGUGGUUUCCUUAGCAAUAACAGGCUCCGACAAAGACAGUGGGGACUCGGUUUGCAAUGUUCUCUUCGGCCCAGCACAGACUGCACUUUGGCAGUGAGCAAGGUCAGGAUUUGGAGAGGUUAUUUCUCAGCCUGGAUGUGUGCCCUGCCGUGUGCAUGUCCCACUAUGUGCAUGUUCCACUGUGUGCAUGUCCCACUGUGUGUAUGUUCCACUGUGUGUAUGUUCCACCCUGUAUGUGUUCCACCGUGUGUGCACUAGGUACCCUCAGUGGAAACUGGUCCUCAUCUUCAGUGCCAUCUAUCCCAUGAGCAUCCCUUCCUUUUUAACCCAAGGCUGGUUGCAGAAGAUGGGCACUAGCUCACACUGCUGAUUCGACCAGUCCUGCUGCCACUAGCACUGAAGUCACUAGCAAGACUUUGGAAUCUUGGAUUAAAGGAUUAAAUCUCAAGAUUUCAGAAGAUGUUCCAUGGAGCCCUGGAGGUCUGCUGUGCUGGGAGCUGGGACAGUUGAUGCGAGAGAUACUUGGCAGGUAGGAUUCUGGGUGUCUGGGCUCAGAGAAGCUCUGCUUUUACCUGUUUUUAAAUACUGAUUUAACUUGUUAAAAA